GUAACACCAUCCUUCCACUCAGAUCCCACACAGAACAGAGGAAAGGUAGAGUAGAGCAGGGCACAAACUAUAGAGGCUCUGGAUGCAACUGUAGUGCAGAUAAUCUUCACAGUGACCCAGAGGGAGAACCAAGGCCACACUCAGAGGUCAGAGAAAGGUGAAGAUCAGAAAAAGUAAAGACACAUCCCAUACACUUCAAAUACUGCCUAGCUGUAAUUAGAAAUGAUGAUUGCUUAAUAUUCAGAAUACUACAGAAUAUAUAAUACAGAAUAAUACAGAAUUCUUUCCUAUACUUUCAUGAAAAGUCUUUCAUGAGGAAACUCUUAUGGUCAUAUUUAAAAUAAUUAAAAUAUUUUUUCUUUAUUGAAGUGGAG
rnacentral:lncRNA from 1 species